rnacentral:lncRNA from 1 species
ACAACCGAUAAGGGCCCAGGUGACCGAGUUAGAAGAAAUCAAGAAAUGUGAAAGUUUUGGAAGACCCUUUCAGCGUAAAAUGGCAAGCCAGAGAGCUAACAGAGGUAAAAAUGACAUCAUGAUUCACUUUAAGAAAUGCACGAGAAAGCCCAAAUCUGUAGUACAUAAUACACUGUAGGUUGUGUUGGAAUAAUAUAAUGUGAAACAUGAAUGAUGUAUUGAUGAUAUAUCCUACCGUAGUCUAAGAUCGUUCAUCUUGUCAGUUCGUUAGGUAUUUGUGUUUGAACUUAACACACGGGGAAACUCCGCAUUGAUGUCACUACGGUACUUCUGGCGUAGAAAAACAGUGCAAAAUACGUUUUUUCUGCACUUUUGAAUAAAAAAACAUUUCUAAAGGUAAGUUUUCAUUGUUGUUCUCAAUUAUUGCCAAAAAAUGCCAAUUUUCUAAUGCCCGUUUCGAUCCCAACUUCCGAAUAUUUAAAAACAUUCUAGAACUUCACAAAAUCCCAUUCAGCGUCAUCAAUCUUGUGGCAGGCAAUAUAGGUCAAGCAAAACGUAUUUUUAGGAAUUUAAAAAUGACAUGCUCCUUACCUCUUUCUCGAUUUUCCCGCGAAAAAAGCUCAACCAAAAUGAAAGGAAAACUAUAUGAAAAAACGAUGCCCAUGCCAUAAUUUUGAACAGGCAUAUAGAGUUGGUUAAUAAGAAACCAUUUACAUUUAUUUUUCAUAGAAUUUUCUUUUUAUUCAUUAUAAAAAGAUCGAUAUUCUGACCAUCAUGACUGUAUGUAAAUAUUCAUACAAAAUUCCCUUGAUGUCAAAAGGGAUGGCAAAAAAAGAGUUUUCCUGUUGAAUAAAACCCAGAACUAUUGCAAACUAUUUUGAAGCAAUAUCCCAGAAAGAAAUAACGUAAUUGCUGUAGACUGAAAAAUCCCCUAAUUGACAGUAGAGCAAUUUGAUUGGAUAUAACGAACUGACAUCACGUGAUUUUGACGCCAUUGAAAUUUUAAUGUAAACAAACAAGGUCAGAAGGUUCCGUAUGGGACAUCAUUGUACAUUUAGUUACUGACAAACAAUUACGAGUUUUCAAGCUUGCCAAUGCAUGGUUAUAAAAAAUUAAAGCUAAGUCUACAGAAAAAAAAAGAAAAAAAUAGCCUUAGUAUAACGACUUAUCAUUACACCUGGAUACUCAGUCUCAGUAGCUGUGGGUUCCUUCGUCCUACUUUUUAAUAGAAAAAAUAUAAAUGGUCUUAAGAUUUUAUCAAUUUAUUCAGGUUUUUACAUUUCUAAAGCUAAGCAUGUUAAGUGAUAUAGAACCUUGUGUUUACUUGAUAAUGAAAAAUGUAUGUUUUCCCUGAGCCAUACAUUUGUUUUGAAGUAUAUGAUUUAUUAUUAUAUAUUUAUACUACUUAAAUAAUGAGGUCCAAUUUGUUAGCUGGCAUGAUGUUAAAACAAUAAAUCAAACAAUUCAACUUUAUAUAUACUAUACAAUUGAGAAUGGAAAUGGGGAAUGUGUCAAAGAGACAACAACCCGACCAAAAUAAAAAAACACAACAGCAGAAGGUCACUGCAUUGGACCGAUAGGUAUUGAUCAUAUGUGAGCCAAAACUUGUUCCUGUGAAAAAAGUUCCAGUGGAACUAAUUUUACAGGAAAUAUGUUCUGGGAGAACUUUUUUCACAGACAAUUUCUAUAUAAUUUGUUCCAUCUCUAUGAAAUAAGUUCCACACUUUACCUUGUGAAAUAAGUUCUGGGUUUGUGAAAUUUGUUCCUUACCUAGUGAAAUAAGUUCCAUGUUUGUGAGAUUUGUUCCUUACAAAAAUGUACCUGGUGAAAUAAGUUCUGGAUUUAUAUGUGAAAUUUGUUCCUCACCUGGUGAAAAUAGUUCCUUGUCUGUGAAAUAUGUUCCACUGGUUAAACAAGUUAUCUUAUACAUUUGUAUAUACUAAGCACUUGUCAUCAGUAAGUUAAAGUCAUUAUAAAAACUUGUAUUAUAUUGAUAAUGCAAUAAAUAGAAAGUGUAUACAUCAAAUUUGGAUCAUGUGGAGUAAAGCAAAAGCUUAAUAACAUACUCAAUUAAUAAAACUAAAAAUGACACUUAUGGUCCAGGGAAGAGUAGAAUAAGAAAUAAUAACAAAAGUCUUUCCGAAAAAAAGUAUUAACAGUUAAAGAUGAACAUUAAAUAGAGAUGGAACAAAUUAUAUAUUAAAAAACUCAUGGUGCUGUGAUUUUUGUUCUGGUACUUAUUUCACACUUGGUUACAAAAUUAGUUCCGGAACAAAUUUUAUAGUACUGGAACAUAUUUUCUGUGACAUAAGUUCCGGUGGAACAAAUUUUAUAUGAAAUUUGUUCCGACGGAACAAAUGUCACGCCAGAACAAAUUUUUUGUUACACAUACAUGUAAAUUAUACCAUUCUAUGAUUUAUUUAAUUUUGUGGAUUGAGGUUCAAAAUAUUUUAGCAUCUAUUUAAUUUCAUGGUUUUGCAAAAGUCUUUAUAUAAAAUCAUGACAAUAGGCAAUUUGUUGCACAUUCUAAAAUGUUCUAAUUCAUUGUUAAAAGAAACCUACAGAAAUUGGUAAAAUUGGUAUCGUACGAAUGAUAAUGAAUCCCCAGUAUCUGCGAUGAUUGGAAGUUCGUUACCCUCACGGGAAAUGGAAUAAAAAGCAAAACCUUGGAGCAAAUGUUAUCCACUAUGAAUGGAAACAUUCUUUACUUAUUUGCAAACAAUCUGAUACAGUCAAUUGAUGAAUAUUUUCAGAAUUAUGGCCAAUCUGACUAUAUAAAAUAAGAAGACAUGCUUGUAAGUUCGUGACCUUUGUAUUGGAUAGUGACAUUUGCGCAUUUGCAACAAUAUAUAGGUCAGGCCUAUUGUAUUAUGUAUUUUAACAUUACAGAAUAAAUUUGAGAUCAAAUAACAUACCCAAUUUCUCUAUUUAACCAGAUAUUUAUUUGUUAUUUGAUCUCAAAUUUAUUCUGUAAUGUUAAAAAAAUUAAUACAAUAAGCCUGACCUAUAUAUUGUUGCACAUGUGCAAAUGUCACUAUCCAAUACAUGUUCGAGCAAAUACUUGGCAGAUUGUGUUUUAUCAAAAUAUAUGAAAUCGUUUUUUGAUCAUAAAAAAAUCUGCUUACAACCAGUUACAAGACUUCAAAAAAUAAUACUCUUGGCCUUAAAAAGGAAAAGAGCAUGCCAUAACCUAAAAAUAUAUGACAAGUCAUUGUUUCUAUGUCAAUAACGCUUUAGAAAGGAUUUUCCAAAAAAUUCAACCAAAUUUUAGGAGAGGAACAAAACAGUCACAGUUUAUGACUAAACUCAGUAAAGACCUGUCGAAGUUGCAUUUAAUUGAUAAAUUCAACAACACUUACCGUUAUCUUGAUGAUAUUUUUUCGUUAAAUAAUCAAGAAUUUUCUCAAUAUACUGCUGAAAUUUACCCCAAGGAACUUACUUUAAAUAAAUCAAAUGUAUUCGGUAAUAACUGUCCUUUUCCUGGAUUUAGAAUAUUUCGGUUUUAAACGGGAAACUACACACUAAAAUUUAUGACAAAAGAGACGAUUUUUCGUUCCUAAUAUGGUUAUUUUCCGUUUUUAGAUGGUGAUGUUCCUUUGGCACCAUCUUACGGUGUUUAUAUUUCACAACUUGUUCGCUAUGCCCGUGUCUGUUGUGACGUUUUUGAUUUUAACGAACGCAACCUAUUAUUACUGGUAAAUUAUUAAACCAGGGAUAUCGUUACCAUAAAUUACUUAAAACCUUUACUAAAUUUUUCCAUAGAUAUAAAGAUUUGAAGUUUGGUUGUACCUGUAGAAAACUUAUUUCAAACGGGACAGCACAUCCUCAUUUUUACGGAAAUGUUGUUAACCGUGCCCGGAAAUUUAGAAAUGAUCCAUGUAAACUUGUUGCUCCUUUAAAUAAACUUAUUCUUAAAGGUUACCUAUUCAACACUGUAAUAAGAUCAUUGAAUAUUGUUUUAUUGGUAUAAAUAUUGACUUUGUUAUCAGUAGAUUAUAAGCUAACUAAAUAUUACUAGUAUGUUAUAUACAUAUACUUUUUCUUGGAUCUACAAUCUGUCGAUACCUGUAACUUGGCAUUGCACAAGGUCAUGUUUUUUCUCUGGCUGUUUAUGACGUCUUUACACUAAAUCCAUUGUAUGUUGGAUGUGUACGGAUUAAUUGCUUAGUCUUAGAGGCAUGAUUUUUUUAUUAGUUGUUAAUGGCUUUGAACUAGCUGUCAGAUAACUGCGAGUACUCUCAGAUCUGUUCAUUGUGUCUUUUUGUGUCGGAAUGUAUAAGUACCCGGCCACGUCCACUUGUAUUUUUGUCUAUCUGAUGAGUUCAGCCUUUUUCAACUGAUUUUUAUAGUUCCUUCUUAUAAUGUACUGUUAUACCACUGUCCCAGGUUAGGGGAAGGGUUGGGAUCCCGCUAACAUGUUUAACCCCGCCACAUUAUUUAUGUAUGUGCCUGUCCCAAGUCAGGAGCCUGUAAUUCAGUGGUUGUCGUUUGUUUAUGUGUUACAUAUUUGUUUUUUCGUUUAUUUUUUACAUAAAUAAGGCCGUUAGUUUUCUCGUUUGAAUUGUUUUACAUUGUCUUAUCGGGGCCUUUUAUAGCUGACUAUAUGUGGUAUGGGCUUUGCUCAUUGUUGAAGGCUGUACGGUGACCUAUAAUUGUUAAUGUUUGUGUCAUUUUGGUCUUUUGUGGAUAGUUGUCUCAUUGGCAAUCAUACCACAUCUUCUUUUUCAUAUAUAGUAGAAAUGGACGUUUAACAUGUUUAAACAAAUUCAACUUCUCUUUUUUGAAGCCGAUUCUAGUGAAAAUGCAUAGAAAAAUAUGCGGCUAAGUUUUUUUGCAGUAGCACGUUGCUGAUAAUAAAUAAUUUUGCAUGACGUCAAAUUGGAAAUCCAGAGAUGUCACCAACUUGCAAGCAUAACGAACUUGCAAGCGUACAUGAUAUUUAGCAUGAUCAAUAAAAAGAGUUGGGUAAACUAUUAUACAUUGACAGCAUCAUUUAAAGCCAAGACACAGUGUCAUUCAUUUGUCAGUGAGAACCUUGACAAUUUUUUCAUGGAUCUUUUCCUAUUAGUUGAAUUUUUAAAAUAAUUUUCAGAUCAGCUGAAUUAAUUUGAUGGAAAUUUCAGUAUAUUUUGUAAAACAAAAAUUUGUUUUAAAAAGAAAUCAAACAUGGUUUUGUCUUUUCCAGUGUUAUACAACCAGGAUUUAAGCUUCAAUUGCACAUGUACAAAUGUAGUAUUACUGCUUCAGCAAUGCACUAUCCUUUAUUUUUCAUUAGGACCAAAUAAGUGUCCUUCUUUAUGAUAAAGAAGGACAUUAUAAAGAAGGACAUUUAUUUGGUCCUUAUGAAAAUUUUAAAUAGGAAAAGUCAAUGAUUAUUCAAUAUUCUUACACUAGAAAAUAAAUUGUGGUAUUCUAGCUACAUGUUCAUCUCUUCUACUGAUAUAAUAACUAGAAUCAUGCAAAUAAACGAAUAAAGCUUCUCAUACAAAUAUGACAGUUUUUCUAGACCACAAAAAAGCAUGCACAAAAACGUCACAAAAUUCAAUGCAAAUAGAUAUAGGAAGAUGUGGUGUGAGUGCCAAUGAGACAACUCUCCAUCCAAAUAACAAUUUAAAAAGUAAACCAUUAUAGGUUAAAGUACGGCCUUCAACACGGAGCCUUGGCUCACACCGAACAACAAGCUAUAAAGGGCCCCAAAAUUACUAGUGUAAAACCAUUCAAACGGGAAAACCAACGGUCUAAUCUAUAUAAACAAAACGAGAAACGAGAAACACGUAUAUUACAUAAACAAACGACAACUACUGUACAUCAGAUUGUAACCUGGGAAAUUUUUGUUGCACACUAAAACCCCCAUAGGGAUCUUAAAAAGUUGGCAGGUAUGGUUUAGGAAUUUGUGUCAGAUGUUCAGACUCCUUGGUAUUUUCCUUCUAAACAGGGUAAAAUAUUUUGCCACAUAACACCCAUUUUUCUAUUCAUAUAAGCAGGGUUGGCAAAGUAUUACCCGCCAGGGAAUUCCCGGGUGGGAAAACCCGGGUUUUCCCGGGCUGGGCAAUACUCCCAGAAAUGGGUAAUACUGGGCAUUACUGGGCAAUAUAAUUUUUUAAGCUUAUUCUAACACAAAAUAGUAAAGUCUUGGUGUAGUUUCAUAGUAUUACAGCUAAAUAAAUACUUUUUAUACAGAUAACCAUUGGCAGUCAUUUCUAGAAGAUUGAAAAAUUCAAUGUCAUUUUCUUCUUUGUAGACAGAAUACAAGAGUUGCAUAUUAAAAGAUACCUUGUUGAUUACCAAGCAUUGUUUCAAUAAUCCAAACUUUGAAAAAAAUACAUUUUAUUGCAGUGUUUAAGUGAAUUGUUAAUUUUAAAUGUUAUACAUUCAUAUUGCUAAAUAAACACCCUAAGGGCUCAUGCCAUUAACACUUAUAGAAUAGCUGAUUAUUGUUACAUAAACAAAUCUGCAUUCUAAUCUGAAUAAUUACUUAUUAAUAAGUGACAGUUCAAAAUGUACAUGUACAUAAUUUAAAUGUAAUUUUUCUUCUAUGUAAUUGUUGGUUACAUUUAUUUAAAAAAAAAAUGAUUUUUUUUGCUUUAUAUUUACAGUUUUACCAAUCCAGACAAACAAAAUUGGUUAUAUAAUAAAUAUAUGAAAUGUAUAACAUUUGUGUUUGAUCACUGAAUCCUCUAUACAAUUCAGACCAGUAUUUUAUAUUACCCAGUAUUGGCCCGUAUUACCCACUAAAACCCAGUAAAACCCUGGUUUUCCCAGUAUUUCCCACUGGGCUGGGCAAUACUCAUAAAACCUGGGUUUUUGCCAACCCUGCAUAUAAGACUUCAAUAUCUCAGAAAGGUAAUUGAUCGAAAUUUUGGCAGAUUCAAGAUUUCUCUUCUUUUGAUUUGAGACCCAAACAUUUUAAAGUUGUGAUUUUCAGUAUAGAUCUUUAAAAAAAUGUUUUUAAAACCUGGAGUAUAAAGUCAUCAUAUAUAUAUAAAUCCUUUCAGAUUCAUUAAUGGAUGCUCUUCAUCUAAUGAAUUGGCUGUCCUUGAAAUAUUCAUGGACAUUUUAUUUUCAAGUUUCAACUCUUGACUGCAAAAAAAAAUGAAAUAAACAGCCAAGAAAAUGUCCCUGUUUACAGAAUAUAUACCAUUGACUUAUACCUUACAUGAUAUCUUCUGUUAUUUUUAUUAUCAAUUUAUGUCUAACUACUAACUAGAGUUACUGCUCUUCAUCUACAUUUUCUGAAGGAAUCUACAGGGAAUUUUGCUAUUUUGCUAUUUUAGUAUUUUAGACAGAAAAAUCGUAGUUUAGGGGAAGUGAAAUGAAUUCUCAAAAUGUGGACUGCUUUUUACCCUUAUCAACUCAUACAUGCAGGAAAAGUUAAUUAAACAAUAUGCUUAAAACGUGUACAAUUCCGAGUCUCUGCAUUACUCUAUAAAUAUUGGAUUUGCUGGAUUAAUUCAAAUGACAUGGAAUAGAAAAUGUUCAAUAUCAAACCUGUUUUAUGUGGAUUUACUACUUAAUGUUGACUUACAAAAAACCUGCUUUGUCACUAAUUCUGUUUAACAAUAGAAACACACAUAUCAUAUGUUACUUCCAAUAGUUAUUAGGUUUUCCAAUAUUCUUGGUUUUAUUUAAUGGGAUAUUAAGUGAGGUAUUUUACACUGGUUUAUUUACUUUGUACAUGAUGUUAAAUGUAUGUGAUUUAUGAAUAAAGACGAAUCUGCAACUUGGCCACUGGUCACUUCAUCUGACCAAUCAGAAAUCAGCUCGCAAGAUGAAGAUGAAAAACAAAAUUAUAAACUUUUAAAUAGAACAGGAUCAACUGAGUCUGUAUGUGAAAUUAAUAAUAGUAAGGAAUAUAAGAAACUGAAGCAGUUAAGGAAAACUAGUAGAAAGAAAAAAUCCAGGAGUAGAUGUUGUGUGGGCUGUCUUUGUUGCUUCAAGGGAAAUACAGGUAAAUUAUAUCACCACUCACAUGCUAAUAGACAAGUAAAUCAUAUCAACACUCGCAUGUUAAUAGACAGGUAAAUCUAGGAAUAGAUGUUGUGUGGGCUGUCUUUGUUGCCUCAAGGGAAAUACAGGUAAAUGAUAUCAAAACUCACAUGCUUAUGGACAGGUAAAUCAUAUCAACAUUCACAUUCUAAUAGACAGGUAAAUCAUAUCAACAUUCACAUAUAAAUAGACAGGUAAAUCAUGUCAACACUCACAUUCUAAUAGACAGGUAAAUCAUACCAACACUUACAUUCUAAUAGACAGGUAAAUCAUACCAACACUCACAUGCUAAUAGACAGGUAAAUCAUAUCAAUAUUCACAUUCUAAUAGACAGGUAAAUCAUAUAUAUAAAUCCUUUCAGAUUCAUUAAUGGAUGCUCUUCAUCUAAUGAAUUGGCUGUCCUUGAAAUAUUCAUGGACAUUUUAUUUUCAAGUUUCAACUCUUGACUGCAAAAAAAAAUGAAAUAAACAGCCAAGAAAAUGUCCCUGUUUACAGAAUAUAUACCAUUGACUUAUACCUUACAUGAUAUCUUCUGUUAUUUUUAUUAUCAAUUUAUGUCUAACUACUAACUAGAGUUACUGCUCUUCAUCUACAUUUUCUGAAGGAAUCUACAGGGAAUUUUGCUAUUUUGCUAUUUUAGUAUUUUAGACAGAAAAAUCGUACAGUGACCCUAUCUUUUUUUUUGAUAUUCACACAGCAUUUUCUAAUACAUGUAGCUAUCUUCUUGUAUUUUAUUUUACAAAUCUAUCAUUUAGUUUAGCUUCUAAUCACAUUACAAUGUUUUUUUCCCUGUAAAAUCCAUAAAAAAUGUGUCAUUUUGCCACAACCUGUAGCUUGAGAAAAUGCAUGGUGACCUAACAUUUUUAUUAUAUUUUUGAAUAUAUAUAUCAAUAAAAGUUUUGGGAAGUAGGAUCAAAUAUUAUCAUUUUUAAUUUAGACACCCAUACCACCUUAAAUGGGCUUUCAGAAAAUAGAAAAUAAAAAUUAGGGUCAUAUAGGACUUUUUUUCUCAUUAAACAAAACUAAAUAGUAUAUUCAUAACAAAUUCCAAUGUAAAAGUGUCAUUAUCUAAGUUAUCUCCCCUUUGUAUCUUUUUAUAUUGCAAAGUUGAAAAAUUGAAUGAAACAAAGAAUAUUAUGUUUUUGUAAUAAACAGUCACAAAAAUAUGACAAAACACAUACAUUUCUUUAAAUUUUCAUAUUUUUAAAUACAUUUUUGGAAUUUAGAUCUAAAUAGAUAUAGGAAGAUGUCACUGUGGUAUGAGUGCCAUUAUGAUACAACUCUCCAUCCAAAUAACAAUAUAUUUAAAGUAAACCAUUAUAGGUCAAGGUAUGGCCUUCAACACAGAGCCUUGAGCUCGGCUUACACCGAAUAGCAAGCUAUCCAAAAAUUAGUAAUGUAAAACUAUUCAAACGGAAAAACCAAGUAUGUAGAUAAGACUAUAUUAAUAAAAUCUAAAAUAUUGAUAUAUAUAUCCUGUUGUCAUGUGACUCAAUAAAAGCAUCACAAUAAAUCCUAAAUUCAUAGUAAUUGAGCUUAACAGUUAGUUGUAAGAAAAACAAACUGACCUUAGAUUACUACUUGUUCAUCGAAAUAAUUCUAUCAUGCCAUGCUCUAUGCUCAUUUUAACAUGGGUAGGCAUUAUAUUUGUAAACAUUUAAUACCUUGCUAAUGCUUGGUAUUAAGAUAUUAACAAAUAUAAUGCCUACCCAUGUUAAAAAGAGCAUAGAGCAUGGCAUGAUAGAAUUAUUUCUUAAGUAUACACUUUGUAUACUCAGAUGUUAAAAGUAUGUCAGUGUUUACCACUUUGAUAAGCCAUAGACUGUACUGUUCUUAUACAUCAGUCACACUAAUUACAAUCAUUGUUACUUACAUGUAUGUUAUUAGAAGAAAGAUUUCAUUGUGCCAAAGCUCUGUUCAGAACUAAUUUUAUUUUCUGAUGGCUAAAGGAUAUUAUUCUUUAUGGAGCAUACUAAUUACCGUAUAAAAGUUUGAUGAGGAAAAAAAUGUUUUUUCAUAUUGAUUGUUGGUCCUGAGGGGGUUCUUUGUUUGGAAAAAUGCAGAUAAGGGAUAAAUGUUUAAAUAAUUUGCUUUUAUAUAGAAAAAGAUAUAUGUGAAAAAAGUGGUUUUAAACAAAUUGUAAUAUGAUUAUUGCUUAUUAACAUGAUUAUAAUGUUAACGGAAUAUAGAUAAAACAUACAAGUCACAACCUGUUAAAGUAAAAACUACACGAACUAGACAAGUAGGUACUAUUGGAAAUUCUUAAAUCAAAUUUGCUAAGUGAUAUUUGAAGGGGAAAUUUUUCAUGAUAAUGAAGAAUAAAAACAUGAGAAAAACAAACAGAAAAGUGAAUAUUGCAGAAAUUAUGAUUGAGAAAAAAUAGUAAUAUUAUUUUUUACUAAACAUUCACAGCUUUAUAACAUGUAUAAUGUAUAAAAAGGUUGGAUACAAAUGAUAAGCAUAUGCUACAGAGAAUAUUAGUGAAAAAUAAAAAGUUAAUAGAUAUAUAUUUAAUAUGAUAUGAACAAAAUAAAAUAAAAACUGAGAAUGUAACAGGUGAAUUUAUAGGAUAAUCAAAUAUCUAUCUAGUUCAUGCUUUAAGGCGGUUGUUUUAAUGGAUAUUAAAAUUCAUCAAAUGGAAGAAACUAUAAAAUGAUGCUGAAAGGUGAUGGUACAGCAUGUUUAUAAAGAUGGCUGAUCAAAUUGGAAUGAAACAUAAUUUGUAUUUCUUCUAGAUAAUAGAAUAGCAGGAGGAUUUGAAUUGUGACUUAACUUGAGUUGUCUCAAGUAGAAUUCUUCGUUAAACAAGUUUUACUCUGCUUAGAAGUUCGACCAUGGUUACAUGAACUAUUGGGAACAUUGUGUUAUAACUCUACAUGGAAUAUGUGGUCUUUAUAUACAUUUAUACAAUCAUGUUUUGAUAUUUGAAAAGGAGAUAUUUUAUUAUUUGUAAUAUGAACAUGGAAUUAAAUAAUUACCAAAAAAUUGUGAUUCAUAAUGGCAUACAUGUCAUAUAUAUAUUUACAUGUACCUACAUGUAUACAUUUUUAGGAUAGGAUAAGGUAAACAAACUACACUAUAAUAAAUGAAAUGUUUGGCUAAUUGUUUAGCGAAAUAUGAUAAUGUUUUAUAAGAUGAUACAUAAUAUCUCAAAAAUUGCAUGUGAAACUAAAAAGAUAAUAUAUAUUUAGUUUAGGGGAAGUGAAAUGAAUUCUCAAAAUGUGGACUGCUUUUUACCCUUAUCAACUCAUACAUGCAGGAAAAGUUAAUUAAACAAUAUGCUUAAAACGUGUACAAUUCCGAGUCUCUGCAUUACUCUAUAAAUAUUGGAUUUGCUGGAUUAAUUCAAAUGACAUGGAAUAGAAAAUGUUCAAUAUCAAACCUGUUUUAUGUGGAUUUACUACUUAAUGUUGACUUACAAAAAACCUGCUUUGUCACUAAUUCUGUUUAACAAUAGAAACACACAUAUCAUAUGUUACUUCCAAUAGUUAUUAGGUUUUCCAAUAUUCUUGGUUUUAUUUAAUGGGAUAUUAAGUGAGGUAUUUUACACUGGUUUAUUUACUUUGUACAUGAUGUUAAAUGUAUGUGAUUUAUGAAUAAAGACGAAUCUGCAACUUGGCCACUGGUCACUUCAUCUGACCAAUCAGAAAUCAGCUCGCAAGAUGAAGAUGAAAAACAAAAUUAUAAACUUUUAAAUAGAACAGGAUCAACUGAGUCUGUAUGUGAAAUUAAUAAUAGUAAGGAAUAUAAGAAACUGAAGCAGUUAAGGAAAACUAGUAGAAAGAAAAAAUCCAGGAGUAGAUGUUGUGUGGGCUGUCUUUGUUGCUUCAAGGGAAAUACAGGUAAAUUAUAUCACCACUCACAUGCUAAUAGACAAGUAAAUCAUAUCAACACUCGCAUGUUAAUAGACAGGUAAAUCUAGGAAUAGAUGUUGUGUGGGCUGUCUUUGUUGCCUCAAGGGAAAUACAGGUAAAUGAUAUCAAAACUCACAUGCUUAUGGACAGGUAAAUCAUAUCAACAUUCACAUUCUAAUAGACAGGUAAAUCAUAUCAACAUUCACAUAUAAAUAGACAGGUAAAUCAUGUCAACACUCACAUUCUAAUAGACAGGUAAAUCAUAUCAACACUCACAUUCUAAUAGACAGGUAAAUCAUACCAACACUCACAUGCUAAUAGACAGGUAAAUCAUAUCAAUAUUCACAUUCUAAUAGACAGGUAAAUCAUAUCAACACUCACAUGCUAAUAGACAGGUAAAUCAUAUCAAUAUUCACAUUCUAAUAGACAGGUAAAUCAUAUCAACACUCACAUGCUAAUAGACAGGUAAAUCAUAUCAACACUCACAUGUUAAUAGACAGGUAAAUCAUAUCAACACUCACAUGCUAAUAGACAGGUAAAUCAUAUCAACACUCACAUGCUAAUAGACAGGUAAAUCAUAUCGACACUCACAUUCUAAUAGACAGGUAAAAUAAUCAUAUCAACACUCACAUGCUAAUAGACAGGUAAAUCAUAUCAACACUCACAUUCUAAUAGACAGGUAAAUCAUAUCAACACUCACAUGCUAAUAGACAGGUAAAUCAUGUCAACACUCACAUGAUAAUAGACAGGUAAAUCAUAUCGACACUCACAUGUUAAUAGACAGGUAAAUCAUAUCAACAUUCACAUGUUAAUAGACAGGUAAAUCAUAUCGACAUUCACAUUCUAAUAGACAGGUAAAUCAUAUCAACACUCACAUGCUAAUAGACAGGUAAAUCAUAUCAACACUUACAUACUAAUGGACAGGUAAAUCAUAUCAACACUCACAUGAUAAUAGACAGGUAAAUCAUAUCAAAACUCACAUUCAAAUAGACAGGUAAAUCAUAUCAACACUCACAUGAUACUUCAUAAUGUCUCCCUUACAAUUUAGUGAGAAAAAGAUAUAGUUUGGAAGUUCAUACUUUGAACUAGAAAGAGAACCAAACAUUAAUGCCCAAUUAAAGUUUGUCCCCAAAAUCAUGGUCCACUGACUAUAGAAAAAUGAUAGUACAAGUGGCGCAUCCGUGUACUAUGGGCAGGUUCUUGUUUUCGUAAAGCACUUACUGGCUUUUAUUGCAAAUUCUAAUUUCAUAUGAACACCUUCAAAACAUGCAAAAGUUUUCUCUGAAAGAAACUCUAUUGAUUCAGAAAAAAUAGGAAAACAUGGAAAUAGUAAUUGAAUUUCAUUUGAGAUGGAGGAAGUACUAUAUAUAAUACAAUAUCUCAGUAUUUUAUGUCCUUAGACCUAUAGUGAAGUGUAUAUUACUUUAUAAUUAUCUGUACAGGACAAGUAUUGAUCUAUUAGGCUAUAUAGUUAAUGUGGAAAAUAGGCAGAUUGAUGGAUGGAACCUUUAGUGAAAUAAAUUAUUGAGAGUAUGGAAACUUUUCUGUAUUAAAUAGUAAACAUGGUAAAGCAACUAUAACCUGAAGGAAAAAAACAUUGGAAAGGAUCACAUUGGCUUUUAAAGUUGAAAUGAUCCAGUCUAGUCCUAGGUUCCCUGUGAGUUAAUGUAUUUACAUAUUUUCUGGCACAUUGAACCUCAAGAAUUUCUUAACCUAAAUAUUGACCUACUGGCUGUUAGUCUUAACUUGGACAUGAAGGCUAACACAACCUGUUUGACCUUUAUAUUCUUCUGUGGACUAUUAAAGUCUUUCCCAUUAUAAGGCCUCAUAUGUCUACAAGGCAUUUAAAUUUAUCUUUGGGUCAUUACUUUUAGACAUGAGACUAUUAUUGAUAUUGCAGAAAUAUUGUCUGUAGUGUAAAACCAUUCACCACUGAUAUUAAACUUUCUGUUUACAGUAAAUUUGGGUUCCACAAGGCUUACAUUGAUAUGCCGUCUGUCUGUCUGUCUGUCAAAUUUAUUUGGUUAAAAAAUUGCAAAAACAGUGUGUAUAUAAAACGAUAAAUUGGAAGAGUUUUAUCACUUUGAAAUAUAAGAUUAUAUGAAAUAUAAACACUGUAUAUAAGAUGAUUUUUUAACUAGUUCAACUUACACCACCACACAUACCUCAAAUAGAUUGUAACAAAUAGAUCAUGUUGAUUGGUUGUCUUUAAUAAUUUUAAGAGUUAGCGUAGUUGACAUGCAAAGUUAAGUAGGAUAAAUAUAAAAGAGGGACGAAAGAUACCAAAGGGACAGUCAAACUCAUAAAUCUAAAACAAACUGACAACGCCAUGGCUAAAAAUAAAAAAGACAAACAGAAAAACAAUAGUACACACGACACAACAUAGAAAACUAAAGAAUAAACAACACGAACCCCACCAAAAACUAGGGGUGAUCUCAGGUGCUCCGGAAGGGUUAAAAAAAUAAAAAUUUUUUAACCAAUUUUUUAACCAAUAAAAAUUAUUUAUUGAAAUUAUUCUAAAUGGCAUACACUCAUCUGCAUCUGCAAAAAUAUUAUCAGCUCAUGGAGGCUUAUUAAAUUCUAAAUUUGUUUUUCAUCUGCAAACAUAUCGUCUUGGUACCUGUUUUGACGCGGACCAGAAAUGACGCACCAAUUUAGUUUUGGGUUUUAUAUUUCUAAACAAAAGCCGUGACGUCAUUGAUAAUUACUAUUCAUAACAUAAUGGUGAAGGUCAUAUGACUACAACAUAGAUACCUAAAACUCUGUCCAGAAAUGUUCUUAUUGCUUGAAUGAUUAAAGAUAGUGCAAUUUCCGCCAUUUUAUUAAGGUAAAAAACAGUCUACCCUUCCCCAAAUGAUAAUCAGUCCUAAAUCCACUUUGAUCGGCAAAAGUAUGUAAGCGCAUGCUUCCCCAGUUUGUGUUUUUCAAAUCAUGUGACUGUCAUGUGACAUGGUUUUACAUUUAAGCGGGAAUCACUGUAGAACAAAUGAUCAUCGCUUAUAUAAUUUUCUUUGGUUUAUCUAUUUUUUUCAUUCAUUGUAUGAAGUAUACAUUGAUAAAUGUAUUAUUGUCAAUGUUGUUUUAUGAAUGCAAUUACUUCAUAUUUUCAAGUAUUUGGAAUAUAUAUGUCACUUUGAUAAAUUUUUAACAAUUUAAUAUAAAAUUUGAAAUAAAAUACAACUUACAAUUAAAUUAAUGUAAAAAAUUGUGUUGCUAUCAACAUGAUGAUAAAAGUGACUGUAAAUGUCAAAAUUUGUUAAUAAAAUUGAAUUUUUUGAAUAGUGUUAACUUUAAAUUAUCCGGAUUGAAGCAUUUUUUCGAACAUCAGGUACAUGCAAGUGGUUUUUACUGGUUUGUUUACAGUGCGUCAUUACUGGUGCCCAUCAUAAGGUUGACAGUCCGUUUGUAAUGUUAGCAAACAUGAUUUUUAUUGCUAUUACUGUUUCAAAAAUAAACUGUAUUUUAACAAGUGAUCAAUCUUUCAUUCUGUUCCGUUUUUCUAAUUCUUUUAAAUGGAAGAUUAAAUAUAGAGACAAACACAACGUUAGGUGCGUCAUUACUGGUUCCUCGGGGAUAUUUUGUGUACAAUAUAGAAAUAUGAUAAUUCUACAGUGAAUUAUGUCAUAUUAAAACUACAGGAAAGUUUCAUUAUCGAUUGAAUGUGCAUCUUUUCAGUAAAAUAUUAUAUGAUUAUCAGUAAUCAGAUCUGCAUAUGUUCUGUAAUACACUUUGAUGAAAUCAUUUAAUUUUCUUAUGUGUAGGUAGUGCUCAUGCACUGAGGCACCAUCUGAAAAUAUCUUACAGGAAAAAAGUUUGUACAUUAGAAACACAGGCACUUGUCUCAAUUUUUUUUUGCCUGUAUACCUUAAUAUAACACAACGUACUUAACUUAAUUAUUGAAUAAUGACACCCAGUCCUGAAUUCCCGUUAUUUUUUUUAUUUCUCGGUUGUCAAACCUACUUAAACUUAAUAUGCCGUAAAUCUAAAUUGAUUUAUCUACACAAUGGUAUAUGACACGACUAUCAUUGUUGUCGGGAUCAUUAGAAGAAGGCCUCAGAAGUCGGUCAACGGGAUAUUUUUUUGCAUUCGUCUCAAUUUUUGGCAACACCCAGCCCGCAGAGAUUGAAUUAUUAUAAAAAAAUAUUAAAAUAAAAACUGUUAGCUUCCCUCUGACUAUAUGAAUUAUUACCUUUAUUGUAAAUUGUUUACAGAUAAUGUGAAACAAACCCAAAUUAGUUUGUUAUGAAACACACGUGUACACAUCGACACUAAUGUAGAGUUAUAAAUUGACCAAAAUUUCCCACAUUUAUUUUUAGCCAGACGAUUGACCAAUGAGAAACCAGUAUAAAAUUACAUGCGGACUGGGUGUUGCCAAAAAAUUAGACGAAUGCAAAAAAACAUCACGUUGACCGACUUCUGAGGCCUGCUACUAAUGAUCCCGACAACAAUGAUAGUCGUGUCAUAUACCAUUGUGUAGAUAAAUCAAUUUAGAUUUACGGCAUAUUAAGUUUAAAAGUAGGUUUGACAACCGAGAAAUAAAAAAAUAACGGGAAUUUUGGACUGGGUGUCAUUAUUCAAAAAUUUAGUUAAGUACCUUGUGUUAUAUUAAGGUAUACAGGAAAAUUUUUUUUGGUUACAAGUGCCUGUGAUUAGAAAUGAAUAAAAGAUUGAUUUUUGGAUACCUGGUUGAUUUUGAAUUAUGGUUUUAUUUGUAUUUCAUUUAUUAUCUAUACUUUGUAGUUAAUUGUUUUCUGAGGUGUUGUUUGCUGUAGAUAGUAUCAUCAUGAUUAUUGCAGAACUGAAUGGCAUUAAUUAUAUUUAUGUUUGAGUUUAUUAUGUAGAUUGUCCACAAUGUAUUUACUCACAGGAACUUUUGAUUGUUGGUUUACUAAGUGUAUCAUAAAGAUAAAAGGAUAUAUUAUAUGGAUUUGUUUGUUUAGUUGCAUUGCUUUUAAUUAUUUUAUUUAGAUUUUAUUAAUAUUGAGCUUCUACAUGUGAUUCUCUGUCAAUUUGCUUCUGAUAUUUGUCACUGAACAUCUAUAUGUGAUUCUUUGAAUUUGCUUGUGAUAUUGGUCACUGAACAUCUUUUAAAUGUGAUUGCCUUGAAUUUGCUUGGAACAUUUGUCACUGAACAUCUUUUACAUGUAAUUGUCUUAAAUUUGUUUGUGAUAUUUGUCAUUAAACUUCUUCAUGUAAAUUUGCUUGUUAUAUUUGUCACUGAACAUCUUCUACACGUGAUUAUCUUGAAUUUGCUUGUGAUAUCUGUCACUGAACAUCUUCAACAUGUGAUUGUCUUGACUUUGCUUGUGAUGUUUGUCACUGAACAUCUUCUACCUGUGAUUUUCUUGACUUUGCUUGUGAUAUUUGUCAAUGAAUAUCUUCUACAUGUGUUUGUCUUGAACUUGUUUGUGAUAUUUGUCACUGAAUAUACUCUACAUGGGAUUCUCUUUAAUUUGCUUGUGAUAUUUGUCACUGAACUUCUACAUGUAAUUGUCUUUUAUUUGCUUGUGAUAUUUGUCACUGAACCUUUACAUGGGAUUCUCUUGAAUUUGCUUGUGAUAUUUGUUACUGAACAUCUUCUACAUGAGAUUGCCUUGAAUUUGCUUGUGAUAUUUGUCACUGAACUUCCACAUGGGAUUAUCUUGAAUUUGCUUGUGAUAUUUGUUACUGAACAUCUUCUACAUGAGAUUGCCUUGAAUUUGCUUGUUGUAUUUGUCACUGAACAUAUACUUGACAUAAGGAAGAUCACAAGAACUCUGUGAGGUUUUCUGUUCAUAUCUUUGUGAGUAUGAAACUAUAUUGUACAUUAUAUUAAUGUGACUAAUUUUCAUACAAAAAUAUACCUUUCCCAUUACUAUAUGCAAUGCUCUUUUCUUAUUUUUGGCAAUGAAUGCAAUUCUUUUUAUACCUUUUUUUUUAACUUUUCAGAAUAAAUGACAUUGUUGUUUCCUACUAAAAGAUCAAUUGAUGUAAGAUUGAGUGACCUGUAUUUAAAGUGUCACAUAAAACAUCCAUUACCACUCUGUCUGGUCAACAAAAUCAAUAGUCUCCCCUGUACCUCAACAUAUUCUACCAAGCUGCCUGUCAUAAAUACAAAUUGAUCAUUGCAAUUAGUUUGAACAAUUUAAGAAAAUUAGUUUUCCUUUAAAUUUUCUGUAUUUACAGAGUUUUAGAGAAGCAAGCUUCAGAAACAAUUCCCUUGAUUAUGACAUUAAUUUUAUUUGAAAGACAGAAUUGGAAGAUAUAGGAUGGGAUAUAGAUUCUGAUAGAGUAAACUGCAUCCAAGGCUAUAUAAUGUGAUAAUUAGUACUUCAACGUUGAUGAUUUUAUACCACAUCUCUCGGUAGUUGGUGUAGGUAUUGACUUCAGUGUUUGAGACAAGAGAAAAUGAUUAUUUUGUUUGUUUUUGGUAAAUUGUCAUUGAUUUUGUUAGAAUGGAAUAUAAUCAGGUAAUAAUUCACACCACUUCUAAAAUCAAUGUAUUGACUGGAUAACAUUGAAUGCAAUCAACAUCAUAAAGUAUUCAAUGAAAAAAAAUCCGACCUAUUUAGAUUGGAAUUUACCUGGCUUACACCAAAACCAGGCUUCAUUAUCCUUGGUCUGAUGUAUUACUUCUAAUUCAAUAAUAAGCACUGGCAAAUGAAGAAAGACAAAAAUGAUUAAAAAUACUGUCAAUAUAGUAUGUGAUAUUGAAAUGACCAUGGAAUUGACGUGUUUUGUGUAAUGGUAUAAGUUAAUCCCUUGAUAUCAGUAAAUAUAUAAUGGUCAACCGUAGAGAUGGAGGAUAAUGAACGAGUGUCUAUCUAUAUCAAGGAUAUCUAAUGUCAUACCGUGAACUCUUAAUGUCAAGGAUAUCUAAGGUGUCACACAGUGUGCAGUUAUACGGCCAGGUUUAGUCAUAAGUGAUUUAAGAUUCCAUUAUAACUGGUACCUUUCUAUAUCAAGGAAAUCUAAGAUGUCAUACUGUGAAUCGUUGUAUGGCCACUUUUAGUCAUAAGUGAUUUAGGAUUCCUGAAAACUGGUGCGUCCUUAUGUCAAAGAUAUUAGAGAUGUCACCCAGUGCCUAUACAUCUAUGACCACUUUUAUUCAUAAGUGAUUUUAGAUUCCUGUAGACAUCAUGCCAUGCAAUUGAUAGAACUAUUUUAGGAAUUUAAUGACAAUUUUAUUGUGUUAAAAUGUUUGCUCUGUGUAAUAUUCAGUAGAACAAGAAUAACAUAAAGGAGGAAAAAUAGAUUAAGGUUUUAAAUUGUUUAUGGAAUAACUUGUUGAAACAUGGAAUGUUUAGCAUAUAAUCAACAGAGAUUUGCAUGUGUCAUUCAAAAUAUCAAUAAAGAACUGCACCAUAAAGGUGAGUCACUCUGAGACUGCAGAUAUGAUGUAAUUCUUACAGAAUAAAGAAAAGGAUAAAUAGGUUUCAUAAUGUCAACAGAAUUUAGCAUACAUGUACAUACAUAAAUUCUAGAAACACUGUCAAAGACACCAAUCAGUAGUGGAUCCAUAACUUCUCAAAAAGGGGGGGGCGCGCUCCAGUCAUGCUGCUUAAGUGAUUCCUUCUAUAAUCAACCAUUUUUAUACGACCGCAAACCCAUGAAAGGGGUGGCAGAGGCUCCCCAGGACCCCCUCUCUUAUCCGACUAUGUUAAUUGCAAUUAUUGAUGUUUUUCAGAUCAUGUUAGUCUGUAAGUGUGAAAAUGUGCAUUACACUAUGAAGGGGCCUCUGUGGCCAAGUGGUCUGUAGUAUUUCAUCUACUAUGUUCUUUAUAAUCCUGUCUAUAAACUCUUGGUCUUGAAACUGUAUAUGCAAAUGACAAGGUGCGUUCAAAGCCUUUUAUUUUCUUCUAAAUUUUUCCUGCUGACUGUUAUUAAAGUUCUCUCUGAGUACUUUAGCUUUCUCCACCAAAUAUAAAUUGGCAACCAUCAUUGUCGUUAAAAUGCUGAAGUACCACCAAAAAAACAUAAAUCAGGCUGUUAGAAUUCUCAUUUAAAUGUUUUACAAUCUUUAUUUUGUGGCCUUUUAUAGUAUACUAUGAACAUGAUGAAGUAUAUGUGACCUGUGGUUGAAACAGUUGUAAUUUCUUCUUUAUUUGGUAUCUGGUGGUGUUGUCUAAUUGACUCAUUGGAAAUCAUACCACAUCUUAUUGUUAUAAUAACAAAGAAACAACAGACAUUAACCAUUGAUGAACAGUUUUUUUAACUAGUUUUAAAUCUUGCUUUUCUAAUGGAAGUUGUUACGUCUAUUUUGGUGUUGUUAAUAGAAUUUUGAAGUUUUCAUUUGGAAGCUCAUUUUGUUUUCCUUGACUUUGAUCAUAAACAGUUUUAUUUUGGUAUUCCAAUCCAUUUCUUAUACUGAUGGUUGAUUAUCAAUGUUGAAAAUAAUUUCACAACACAAAGCUCCCCUUUCCAAAGGCAGCAUCCUCCAAAUAUAGAAAUCAAGAUUUUUGUAUUAACACAAACAUUUGUCAAACAUAUUUCAUACUUUCAUAGUACAUUUUGUAGUUUAUGAUUGAUUUGAUUAUAAUUCAAUUUAAUAGGAAGUGUUUAUUGAUUUUUCUUGUUUAAGUAGUAUGCUAUAUCUUAUUGUCAGCUAACUGUCAAAAAGCUCUUGGCUGUUCUUUGAAAAUGUUUGGCAUUGAAGUUGAACUGAGUUUUCCUCACUGAAUUUUGCAAGAAGUUAUAAGAUAUAUUUGAUGAUGGCUAAAUUUGGAUAGUUCCUUCUAUAUAUAUAGAAGUCAUUGUACUUUUAAGACACCAAUUAUUAAAUGCAUCUAUAUAUAUAGCAUAUAUCUUCAAAACUUUACUUUCAUUGUAAUGUAACAUUGUUAUAUCAUAGCAAUUAGUAAGGCCACACUUAAAAAUAUUUUGGUUUGCCCAAACCCUACCCAAAGGUUGAGACAGUGAGUAGGUAGGUAGGCUUUUUUUUUUUUUUUUUUUUUCAAAAACAGAAAUUGAAGUAUCAGAUGUUUAUUAGUCUUCAUGCCUAUUUGAUUAAAAAAAACUUCUUCAAAUCAGGACAAUAAAAGAAUUUGAGUAGGAAGCUUUUUUCUGAGUAGGUAGCGUUUGGACAAACAAACCUAUUAUUUAUUAUGGCCUAAGAUUUUCAGGUCCUGCAUAAGCACUAAAAAUAAAUAGUUGUUUGGUAAUUUUUUUUAAUAUAUAUAUUUCUGGUAUAUGAGUUGAAAUAAAACCAUGAAACAAAGACAUGAAAGAGUAAGCUGUAUGAGAAAUAUUUACAUGAGUCAUGGGUUAAUGGAGACUUGAGUUCAUUGUACAAAAAUGUAUCAUAUCUAAUAUUACUCAAAUGUUACUGAAUAAAUUUAAUACUUAUAUAGGCCUAUACAUUGUAAUAAUUUUCAAGGUUGCUGAUCAUGAACAGAUUUAAUAAUAUAAAGAAGAUGUGGUAUGGGUGCCAAUGAGACAAGUUUCCAUCAAUGUCACAAUGUGUAAAAGUAAAUAGUUAUAGUCCUUCAACAGGGAGCCUUGGCUAACACUGAAAAACAGCAAGCUUUAAAGGCUCUAAAAAGACUUUUUUAAAACAAUUUAAACAGGGAAACCAAGUCUAAUUCUAUAUAUGAAAAACAAGAAAUGAGAAACACUUAUGAAAAUAGUAAAAGCACAAAAAUAUGGAACUCUAAAAUUCAAAACAGAAAUUCCCUUUACAAAUGGCAAAAUCAAAAGCUCAAACACAUCGAACAAACAGACAACAACUCAUAUUCCUGGCUUUUUACAUGCAUUUUCUUAUGUAGAACAUGAUGGAUUAAACUUGUUUUAUAGCUAGCUUAAGCCUCUUACUUGUAUGAAAGUUCAAUUAUAUUGACAACAAACCACAACCACUGACUGUGACUGAGCAACAGUUCUCCGACUGAGGACAGUUGCAUACAAAUGCAGAGGGUUUAUACCUUUUCUAUAUAUAUACAUGUAAAAUGUAAUAAUUUUCUAUUCCAGGUUAUGUAGUGGGAAGUCCUGAAGAUGAAAUUAAGAUUUUAGAGGAUAUGAGUCCUACUUCAAAAGUUCAACACCACAACAAACAGAUAUUAACAGAAAUGAG